AUUGAACGCUGGCGGCAGGCCUAACACAUGCAAGUCGAACGAAAGGCGGACGGGAGAGUAAGGACCGGGAAACGGCGUGACGGAGAGGGAUAACUACUGGAAACGGCUGCUAAUACCGCACACAAUCGCAUGUGCCCAGAUGGGAUUAGCGAGUAGGUGGGGUAAAGUCGCACCCAGGCGACGAUCCCUAGCUGGUCUGAGAGGAUGACCAGCGACGCUGGAACUGAGACACAGUCCAGACUCCUACGGGAGGCAGCGGUGGGGAAUUUUGCACAAUGGGCGCAAGCCUGAUGCAGCCGUACCGCGUGUAUGAGGAAGGCCUUCGGGUUGUAAAGUACUGUCGGCAGGGAGGCGUUACCCGCAGAAUAAGCACCGGCUAACUCCGUGCCAGCAGCCGCGGUAAUUC
rnacentral:rRNA from 1 species